CCUUCAUCAGCAUCCUUGGGCAACGUUGCAAUCAAAGCGAGAUGGAGAUGCUGAUGGCUGCGACAUCUUAAAUGAUUCAACACCUUGAGCUUGAGCGGAUAAGAUCCUUCGAGCAGGACGACGGACAUAUCAAUCAGGAAAAAAGCAGUCAUUGUCGGAACUCUCGCCCCCGCCCUUCUCCGCGCUUCUCAUCGAGUUGAUGUCCUUGUCGCCGAGUGAUAUGAGACCGCCCACUCCAUCACCCUUCAUCAUCGUGUCUGUCUUCCCAGGACUCCCCUGCUCCACAUCCAGCUCCCUGCCAGCUCUGUCGUCGCGGCAAACACGAGGGAAAUUCUUUUGCUAAUGCCAAACACAUCCGUUCUUUAUUUGAUACCCUUAUUAAGGGAGCGUAACAAGUUGUAGUGAAAAUAUGCGAAGGCAGAAUAUGCUACAUCUUGCAAAUGAAGUAAGGAAUGCAAAGUUAAGUUCUAUUACAUUAAAGUGUGGGAAUUGCUUACACAUUAAAAGCCCACAAAAUCAUAAAGUAUCAAGCCCGUGCUCGGUAUCUUGUAGUCGUUAUGCUAACAACUAAAUCUUUAUCCAUUCCCCAAGUAUUAAUGUCGCCGGCACAAAGACCGAGAUGGGAUCUUCGAGAUGUCGAUGGCUUAUUAGCCAGGCACUUUCGCAUGCCUUCACACACCUGUAAUGCCGAGC